GGCCGAGCGCCCAGAGAGGGCGUGCUGACGUCACGACGCCCGGGUCAAGGCCUGGGCGCGGCUCCGAGCCGGGUUGUCGCUAUAGCAAUCGGGAACCGCUACCUGGCGCGUCCAAGGAUUCGGCCCACCUGAGGCGUGAGGAGGUGACGGAGGCCCCGAGGGCUCUGCGCCGUCACUUCCGCGGCUUGCGGGCGAGAAGGUGCGCUUUGGGAGUAGCGCGGGAGGACAGGAGGUGCAGGUUGUGGAGGGACGCAGGCCCGGGGACUGCCCUCUCUCUCCUCCGAGCUCAGAGCCCCCAAGGCUUUCUCCCGGCUGCGCGCUCAGCACUCGCUGCCUUACUGUCCCGAAGCGCUUUAAGGUGCGCAGUUCGCAGGCCUUGCCUACUGAUCUUCCUUUGAAGGGAGCAGUUGCAGAUUUGGACUGCCCUUCCCUGGCCCAGCUCUGCAAGCCACCCACAGUUCUUUCUCAUGACGAGGACGUCCCCACACUCAUCCUCAGAUGGCAGGAAGAUCUCAGCGGGUGCAGAAGUUCUGACGAAAGUCGGGCUGAUAGGAGCCCAUGGCACAGCGAAUACAGCGAUGGAUGCUGGUGUCGUAGUAGUGCCCUGGGGAGCACUGGACUGCAGGCAAGGGAGAAAGGCAGGAAUCAAGAUGGUGGGCAGGUGAAAGUUACGGGGCAUGGGAUGGACAGGAUACAUUUAUCUUGGAGAAUCAGGAAGUCAGAUACGUCAAAGUUCUUCCUAGGUUCUCAACCUUUCCCAGUCACGCCAGAAUUUAAGCCCAUGGAAAAACAAAGUUUACAGAGUGGUUGGCUACAGUGCCAAUCCUUUUCUUUCAGAUGCUGAGCACAGUUCCAAACCUAUAUAGAAAUUCAUUUGGGAUAUGGAGAAUAUGCCACCAGUUCUACAAAGUGGAGGGGAAGAAAGUUUGCCACCCUCGUAUUACUUAAAGAAUGUCCAGGGGAGGUGCUUCAAUAGAAAAAUAGUGAAUUCAAGAAAGAGGAAGACGUGGGAUGCCGAAACUGUGGUGAACAAAGAACCUAGUAAAACUUUUAGUGAAGUCUGAGUAAUUAUUGAGGCAUAAUGUAAACAUUUUAAAAAUAACAAUUUGGAGCAAUAAUCUACCCAGAUGAUCUCAACUUGGGAGGUGGCAGGUGGGGGAGGAGGAAGAAAGUUAAAUAAUGCUAAGGGAGAAAAAAUUCCUGCCUGAUCAGCUCUAGACAUUGAUAGAAAACCAGAAGUUAAAGAAUAUAGGAUUCAUCUGCCUUGGAGGGUAUGGAAGAAAAAAAAAAAGAUUCAAAUUUAAAGAUAAUCAACAGAAGAUGGAGAAUUGGAAAAUCAACUCCCAGGUCAAUAGAGUGAAUUAAAAAGAUGGGGAAGAGGGCAAAGAAAACUUCAUCAAUCUAACAAAAAGCAGGGAAAGAGGAAAAAGA